rnacentral:misc_RNA from 1 species
GUUAAAUUGGGCCACGUCAACCGAUUUGGGCUGGUCUCGCACAACCACAAACGCGACCCUAGUGGAUUAGAUAUAAAACGACGUCGUGUGGUAGAACGGUGAUCUUACAGGUUACGACUGACAAAACGGCCAUCAUUUUAGUGGUAAUUAAGCAAAACCCCAAGCCAUUAGCCAGAGAGGACGAUGAUGAUAAAGCUAAGGAAAUAUUCUGCUUAGGGUUUUUGGGUAUAUUCUCUUCCACUCUCUCUGUUAAUAGAAAAACAUGGCAGUUUCUUCUCUUUAUCCAUUCAAUCCUAGUAUCCUCUCUAGAGUUGCUGCUCAGCCUCAUCUGUUUGCAUACUCUGUUUUGAGUCGAAGCAAAUUUGGGGAAACGGUGGCCGAUGAUGGGCGAAGGAAAAGUAGGCUGAGUAGGUUUCUGGCUUUGUCGAUGCACUCCAAUGCUAAGGUUCUCAAGUCCAAUUUGAAGUCACGGUAUGGGCAGACGUUGAGCCCCUACGAUAGCAGUGAAGAGGAGGACGAUGAAGAUGAAGAUGAAGACGAUGACGUGGCAGAGGACGAUUGGUUGUUGUUGGAUGAUGAAUUUGCGGAACCUGCAGAAUUUGAAGUUGAAGGAAAAAGAUUGAAGUCGCAAAAGAAAAUCAAUAAAAGACAAGGUGUUCUCUAAAUUCAAAGAAACUUUCAAGUUUUCAAUGGGAAUAAUGGCUGAAUGAUAAUUUGUGCUUGCAGGUGGUCAUAGACAGUUGGAUAUAAGCAGGAAGAGUAUUGUUGGAAAUUUUUAUCUUGCUAAAAACAAAACAAAGGAGGUAGACUCCUUGCAUAUGGACAACAAAGGAAGGGUAUGAUCAGAUUUUUCUUUUCCCCUAUAAGCUGCACUGCUAGUGUAAAAGAGAUUACCUGCUUUAUUUGGUUGCAGCUGAUGUCCAAAGCACCUAAUGAGAAAAAAUAUCAAAAGGUGUCUGAAGAAAUAGACUUAGAUGAGAAAUGGCUCCCACUUUUUGAUUACCUAACUACCUUUGGGCUCAAGGAAUCAGACUUCAUCCAGAUGUAUGAGAGGCACAUGCCAUUCCUUCAAAUAAAUGUAUCUUCUGCAGGGGAGAGGUUGGAGUACCUGCUGAGUGUUGGUGUCAAAAACAGAGAUAUCAGAAGAAUACUUUUGAGGCAGCCACAAAUUCUAGAAUAUACAGUGGAGAACAAUUUGAAAUCUCAUGUUGCUUUCUUGAGGGGUUUAGGUAUUCCAAACUCUAAAAUAGGGCUGAUAAUUGCUGUUGCUCCUUCACUUUUUUCAUAUAGUGUUGAAAAUUCAUUAAAACCCACAGUAAGAUAUUUGGUGGAGGAAGUUGGCAUUAAUGAAAAAAGUAUAAGUAAAGUAGUGCAGCUAAGCCCUCAGAUCCUGGUUCAGCGGAUUGACAUAUCAUGGAAUACUCGCUAUAUUUUUCUUUCAAAGGAGUUGGGAGCAUCUAGAGAUAGUGUCGUAAAGAUGGUAACAAAACAUCCUCAGCUUCUCCACUACAGCAUAGAUGAUGGAUUCGUUCCAAGGAUCAAUUUUCUGAGGAGUAUUGGCAUGCGUAAUUUGGACAUCUUGAAAGUCUUGACAUGCCUUCCACAGGUAAGUUUUGCUUCCUUUAUAUGCAUGUUGGGACAUUCUUUUUAUUUUUACAACAUGCAGGAUUUGUUGUGCUUAUAUACCAUGUUAGGCCUCUUUGGUCUAGAAUUUUUCCUUGGUCUUAUUUCAAAUUCAUUGCAUUACUACCUUUUUUGAAACAAGGACUACACCCUGCUGGUAAGCACCACACCCUGCUGGUAAGCACCACAAUUGGAAGUGGUUUGCUGUUAUAGGUCGCAGAAAUUUGUCUCUAUAACUUAAGAGUAUUCAACGAUAGCGUUUUGUGGUUGUCAUGAUCAGGUUUCACAUUUCAGGGAGGACAAAAUAAAAUAUAGAUAGCAACAGAAAAUUUUAGAAAACAAGUUUUCUGAUACAUUAUCAUGUGAUUUUUUUGGUUUUUAUUUCAUGCUACCUGUUUUAUUUAGUAUGGAAGUUGUUGGUUUUGAAUCUUCUAAAUUGUUGGAAUUGAUGAGAUUCCAUGCUCCAAUUUAAGGGAGAUUGGAAAGUUAGUGUUUAUUUGAUAUAUUCCUAUUUAGCUAUGUAGCAUAAGCUAGAGUGAUUUUAGGGAUGUUUGUAUAUAAUUAUAAAUAUGUGAUCUUCUAUUCUAUUAAAAAUAGAAGAAAAUAUAAUAAAAGAUGUAGUCUUUAUGGUUCUUUUCCCUCCCUUUCUUUAUUUCUUUCUUAUUCUUUUUUUUCUUCUUCAAUCUUAACAUUGAUGAUCAUGUUGGAUGUGUUAUUAGGUAUUAUCUUUGUCACUGGAGGACAAUCUAAAGCCAAAGUACAUGUAUUUGAUUAAUGAACUUCGUAAUGAGGUGCACUCGUUGACCAAAUAUCCUAUGUACUUGAGCUUGUCUUUGGACCAGAGAAUUCGCCCUCGCCAUAAGUUCUUGGUUGCCUUAAAGAAAGCUCCAAAGGGACCCUUUCCUUUGAGUUCAUUUGUUCCAACAGAUGAAUGCUUUUGUCAGCAAUGGGCUGGAACUAGUUUAGAUAAAUAUUUGUCAUUUCGUCAGCAAUUACUACUUAAGGAGUUUGCAAAGAAAUAUGAAAGACAAGGAUAAUGUAUAAUGUGUUGCCAUAGAGCCUAUGUGUUCUUUUUACUAACACAAGUACUGUGGCAAGGUCUCUCCACUGUUCAGCAACUUAUAUGGCUUAUUUUGCAAAACUGACCUGGAAUUUUUGAGGUGAAUCUCUGGUGUUCAUAUUACAAUGAACCUCCUCUCCUGCUCUAGUUCUGCUCAUAUUUGAGGUGAACUCCAAAAAGCAUGUCUGUGAGAGGGAAAAAGAGAUGACAUUUGAAGGAUCCAGUAGCAACUUGUCGUCACAGCAAGUUGUUCAGGAUUAGAAUCUCAAAUUCUUGAAUGAUUACCCUACGCAUUGCAGGACAAAGCUAAUUGCAAUCCAUCAAGAGAUGACAUUUGAAGUAGUAAGUUGUCAUCACAGCAAGUUUUUCUCGUAAUGCUUAUACCAUUUUCUUUCCCCUUUUUUCCCACCUUAUGCUACAGAUAUAUGAGAUACCAUUUUUGAUACCGCUGCAGCCUCACAAAUCACUUUGAAGGGUAGUGAAUUGUAAUUAAAUUUUUAUUAUUGAAUUGUAAUUAAAUUUUUAUUUUCUCCAUGAUUUGCGAUGGAUAUGUGUCAACUUCCUAUAUAUUUGAUGUUCUAACGGAAGUUGCUUCUUUUAUCUGUGUGCUUUUUUAGCUGGCUGUCACUAUUGCCCUGUUUUACUUUCUCAGUCUCGAGUCUUAUUUGACAUUCCUGUAAGGUUGAGGCAGUUGCAUGAUCCACUCAAAACAAGGGAACCUGGCAACCUAUUUUGUUCCCAAGUACCACCACAAUUCUUUUUAAGUUUCCCCCAAUUUCCACAAUAUUUGAGACUAUCAUCUGUAACCGAGAGUAUAAAUAUGAAUUUUGAGGCAUGGCUACUUGUUGCUGUUAAAUCAAC